UUCAGGGUUUGUGCACAGCGCUUACUGUUAAUGGUGCAGCAUUGAGACAUAAAUUCUUACGUAAAUUCUUUGUGUCAGCAGUUUUGGGAAGAUCUUUUCCUGUUCCUUAAUAAAAGCACAAGUCAACUCUAUAAAGACAUGUUUUGAUGAGCCUGGUGUGCGGGAACUUCCCUGACAUGCACAGAGCCAACUCCAAGAAGAGGGGAGGCUGUUAAAGUUGCAAAAGCAGGGGGUUGCGAAAUGCCCAUGCCAGCACAACACACUAACACACAACCACCAUGUCAAAGCCACUACAGUGCUGAGAAUGAUCCACUACCCACAUAAUACAUACUCCAGCAGCAAAGUAUGCAGAGAAACAGGUGAACUACAGUCUGUAAUUGUAGAACUACAGUGUGCAUCUAUAUGAGAUUUCAAGGGCCACCCUCAACCUCCAGAGCUGGGCAGCUGCAAUAAGGGGAGACCAUGCUAGUAUUUGGAUCUUUACAAUAACCAAAUUGAAAUGAAAAACUGAAUUAUAAAAUGUUUUAAACACUUAAGUUUAUAAGGAAGAAACCAUAUUUACUAAAAAAACAUUUCCAGCUGAGCCUGUAUUGUGUAUCUAACAGAAGCAGUACUAAAAUGUGAACUGACGAUCUCAAAAAAGCUAUGAUAGUCACUUUCUGAUUUUAAGUUGACUUGUCCUUUAGUUUUUACAGUGUUUCUAGGAUGUUGUUAGAUGAUACAUGAAUUAAUUACAUGUUAUAUAUGCAGAUGUUUUUCUUGUAGAUUUUUUAGCAGGUAACAUGGACUCAAAUAAGUAUUCAUGGUGGCUGUCUAUUCAAGCUUUGCAUAAGAGCUUGGUAAACAAGCCAAAGUGUAGCUUAGGUAAAUAUUAUGACCACAUUUUUAUCAGAAUAUUUAUACUCAGCAUGUUAAUUGUAAUUUGUUUAUUUGUAACAGUUUCUUGCAGGGGCUGACCAUGAGGCAGGUCAACAUGCUACAAGACAGACUGUCAAAAAACAGUUCAACACCAUCCAGCAUGUCCAAGAAAAAUUGUUAAUUUUGUGUGAAGCCUGAAGAGAUAAAGAAAAGCAAAGUGCCAGAGAGUUGUUGGCGCUGACAUUGUGAUUCAUAUUGACAAAAGUAAAUUGUCACAAACGAAAGGUAUGGUUGUGUUUACAGUUACCUGUUUUGGGAGUUGAUGCAGCAAAGCUAGUGCAACCAUGUUGUUUUCGUUCAGACAUUAAAAAUAUAAAUCAUACAUGGAG